UACGUAGGGGGCAAGCGUUAUCCGGAUUUACUGGGUGUAAAGGGAGCGUAGACGGCUUUGCAAGCCAGAUGUGAAAGCCCGGGGCUCAACCUCGGGACUGCAUUUGGAACUGUAUGGCUGGAGUGUCGGAGAGGCAGGCGGAAUUCCUAGUGUAGCGGUGAAAUGCGUAGAUAUUAGGAGGAACACCAGUUGCGAAGGCGGCUCUCUGGACUGUAACUGACACUGAGGCACGAAAGCGUGGGGAGCAAACAGG
rnacentral:rRNA from 1 species